UUAAUUUAUCGUAGCCUCUAAAUUCCUUCCCAUGUGGUCCUCAGUAGUGAAAUCUCUCCAUGUUUGCAUCUUAAUUGUGUGCCUCAUAUUGACCACUUGAAAAUGAAGAUUACAAGCUUGAAGCCAAUUUCGAUUUAGCACAAUGUAAAUCGAUGGAUUAAGAGUUUAAUUUUCGUUAGAAUGGGCAAGGUGUAGCAAUGGAUCAG
rnacentral:misc_RNA from 1 species